rfam:Drosophila ananassae strain TSC#14024-0371.13 Ctg01_19561, whole genome shotgun sequence.
GACCUGGGAUGUGAGAAAAUUUGCAGCACAAGCCCAGAAACAGCCAAAAGGUAAAUGGGUGAAGUGCUCAAGAAAAUCAAGCCAACGAGCAGCAAAGCCAAAA